GUUCGAGAGACAGAAAGGAAGAAGGCUGCGUUAAAGGGAGAGAGACUCCAGUACGUGCAAAGUGGAUACGAGUUCGUGGGCUUUUUCUCUCUGUAGGUCAUCUAUUGCGUGGAAAGUCGUUGAAACGAGUAUAUUAAAUACAAAAACAAAAGUGAACACAUUUCAAUAAUAACAACACAAUCCAUAAGAAGCCAAGUGAAUAAUGAUAAACAACUUGAAUAGAUGAUGGUUUGGUCAAACGUUUGGUGAAAUAAGUGUCAAGCAGCAGCAGCAGUCGAUGAUCAAAACAAUCAGAUUGAUGCUGAAAUAACUGAAAAUAAUACUAAAUAAUGAGUACCUUGAGGCGUCAUUAUUGUGUCAAGAAUGUGGAUACGGAAGUCGAAGAAGUGCAUCAUCACACGAGGUCAGCUCACUAGCGUUGUAGGAAGCAGCAGAAAAAGGGAAAACGAGAGAUACGUAGAAGAGAGAAGAAAGGAGUGUGCGCAAGCCAACAAACGCUCGUCUGCAUUCAAGAUGGUUUAGCUUGGAUUUUUGGGGGUUUAAGCUGUCCAAUUUGCACGAGAAUUAACAGAUCAGAAAUACACGGGUAGCAAUGUGGUGGUCGUGAGACACACAACAGCCACGCGAGAUAUCUCAGUGGACUAAAAACCAACCACGAGGCUCUAGAAAAACAAUCUCUUUCCAGCAGAGGAAAGAUUUGGAAAAACAUGCCUAGGACACUAUCACGAUGAUCUCUUGGAUCAACUUUCCUCGUGCUUCCUGGGCCUGGAAUAGACACUGACGAUAUGGACACAGUAUGGCUUCGGUACUGUGGCAUGCCUCUGGGAGUAGUUUCGUCUUGCCUGCCAUCGUCUUCUUUCUGCUACUUUGUCCACGUGCUAUCACAGCCCGCGAGGUAAUUGAUGUGCCACUGCCACAGCAAGACUUCGUUCCAUCCCUAUCGCCACCACCACCGGGACCCUUCACCACUGCCAAAACACCAAGGUGUGACCAGACAUUUGUCAGUGUCAAAGAUGGUCCGGAAAAUGGUACAUUUCAUGCGCCUACUUUGAUUAAUCCGAAACGUGAAUCACAGCAGUGUGUCUAUACCUUCCUUGCAGCACCUCAUCAACGGGUGGAAGUUGUUUUUACAACUUUUGGCCUUCGCGGCACUCCGCCAGAUGGAGCUGCUGUUGGGGAAUUACCUGCCUGUGCUCAUGAGUACAUGGAUGUCUACACGGAGAUACGAUCAGAAAAUGCAACCAAGCUGAUAGAAACACCCUUCGGUGGGCGAUAUUGCGGCCCUAUUCCACCGAGAAGACGAGUAUCUCUCUACCGCGGGAUUGCACUUAGUUUCUAUACAGACAAGAAUAUCACGUUACCAAGUCUCUUUAGCGGUCGAUACGCUUUCAUCAACGCCUCUGAGUACGAAAUCGGAACACCAGCGCCUUAUACACCAUGUUCUUUCUUGGUAAAUUCAACAGUCAAAGGCACUGGAUCUAUUCUAUCGCCUACUUAUCCUGGGACUUAUCCGAAGGAUCUUGUUUGUACGUACCGGUUUAUCGGCAAGAUUGGCCAGAGGAUUCGACUUGAGUUUCGGGACUUUGACCUUUUUUAUGGAGGUCCUCACUGCCCUUUUGACUAUGUAAAAGUUUAUGAUGGAUUGGAUAAUACAGCCCCAACAAUUGGGACUUAUUGCGGUCAGCAACGUAAUUUGGUGCUAUAUUCUUCACAAUCUAAUCUUACUGUACUCUUUGUAACACUGCAGCGAACUGCAAAUACACAAAAUCGUGGAUUUAAAGGAAUUUUUGAAUUUUCUGAAAGCUUUGUAAAAUUAGAUUUUAUAAAUAAUUCUGGAGGAAUGCAUAUACGAGGAUCAGAGUGUGAUCAGAAAAUCUUGAGCAAGAAAGGAGGUGUGCCAGGAUUUGUUGUCAGUCCCAAUUAUCCUUAUCCUUACAUACCAAAGGUUGUGUGUCGUUACUUUAUCUACGGUAUGCAGGAUUCUCAGCAUCUUGAACGUGUGAAACUCGAGUUCUUAAUGUUUGAAAUAUCUAAAGGAGAAGCCAAAGGAGAAUCCGCAUGUACUGAUGGAUACUUGAAAAUCUACCUGAAAGGUCAAGAAGCAACUGACUCGUACGACAAGUUUGACUAUGAAUUUUGCGGUAAUGAAACGAAUCCGAGCCAAAUAGUUAGUGACGGGCCUCGUCUCGUUAUGGUGUUCAGCAGCGGGGAGCUCAAGCAAGGCCGGGGUUUCAAAGCUAGGUAUAGCUUUGAAACCGAGUACAAAAUACCCGGUACCGCUGCACCGGACGGCAGCUGCACAUUCACUUAUCGAAGUUCCUCACGGAAAAAAGGGGAAUUUAACUCACCACGUUACCCAAGUAAUUAUCCGAGCGAUACAAAUUGCACUUAUCUCUUCUUGGGAACGCGCAAUGAACAAGUUACUCUUGUUUUUGAUAAUUUCAAAGUUCGAACGAGUGUGACUAACGAUUCCGUUGGAUCUUAUGGACCAAUCACCUGCCAAGAUGAUUGGUUAGAGAUUUACAACAUAUACCAAGAUAGUACAGAGAAGUUAAUUGGAAGAUACUGUGGAAUGACUGCGCCAGGUCCUGUGGAAUCCAAUCUCGGUGCUCUUGGUCUAAAAGUCAUUCUUCACUCUGACUCGGAACACGUGUAUAGUGGCUUUAAAGCUCGUUACACUUUUGAUGUUGCUAAAUCCAUUUUCGGAGAUUGUGGCUCAAAUAUUAGCAGUCUCGAUUCUGGAGUAAUAACGAGUCCAAACUAUCCUGAAAAAUAUGACGGCCCAUCUCGAAAUGCUUCCAGCAAAACUUGCAAUUGGUUUGUAAGUGUGCGUCCUUACCACAGGAUAUUAUUGAAUUUUUUUAAUUUUUCUGUGGAAGGUGAACAAUCUGUCAGAGGAUGUCCAGCUGCCGUUUUGAGGAUGUGGCUUUCACAAACCUCUACGCCGAUUGAAUUGUGCGGUGGGAAACCUAACGAUAUUUCGUGGAGUUAUUUGUCAGAUGAUCACAAUAUACGGCUUAGCUUCAUAUCCUCUGACAAAGCAGUAGGACAAUCGGGCUUCCGAGCUGUGUGGACUGAAGUGUCUUUGGCAAGCGAAUGUGAGCCAGAUGAAUUUCAAUGCAGUAAAAAAGGAUACUGUAUUGCAGACACAUUACGUUGCAACAAAGUCAGGAAUUGUGGGUCUGAAGAUGCAACUGACGAGGAGAACUGUACAGCAUCAGCCCCGCUGGCACUAGCAUUGUCUGGAGUCUCUGACAUGCUUCUUCUCUCUCUGUGCUUUGUGUUCGUGACCAUCUGAGGCCUUCCUGAGGCUUCAAACGAUCCGGCAUGCUAUGAACUCCCUUAUCACGUACAAUCACAGUGCCUCCAGUGAGUUACGCGGUGCCAGUGGGAUCUGCAGCAGCAGCUGUACUUCUAGCUCUUAUUAUCUGUCUUUUGUGUCAUCGUAAAAUGAAAAGACGCGUCGAAGAGAUGAAUAUCGAUG
rnacentral:misc_RNA from 1 species